UGAAGAAUGCUGUCCAGGGCAUC
rnacentral:siRNA from 1 species